UGCAGUGUUGUAAAACGCAUGAACAUAAGAGUGGAAACAAAGGCAACGGCAAACAGAGUGGAGGAGCCUGUACCGAUGACCCGUGGAUUUAUCGCGAUGGCAUCGGGCACUGAUCCGUGCUCGGUUUCUACGGCACGGAGCACGCGUGGCAGUGGAUUUCGAUUGUGAAGGGCGUGCGUGAGAUUUCGGAUCCCGAACUUACCGUUACUGCUGCUGGAGUGGAGACAUCGGUGCCGUAGCAGGGAUCCGGUUCCAGUUUUGCCGCUGUAGGAUAACAGAUCGCCACAGGUUUUGCAGCAGGCGUACGGCUCUAUGUGGUCGUCGCACUGGACGAGAUUGAAAAACCUCCAGACGCAGCUUUUGGUGUUCCUGGGCUCAACGAGUUUGCAACGCUUGUCCCCGGAUUUUAGUAGGCUACGAAGCUCUGAUUUCUUUUCAACAUGCAUCGUGGUGUAUCGGUUGUUCGAUUUGCGGUGGUAAUUCGGUUUGCCAAGAAGAAAACAAACCCAAAUUACAAAAUGUACACAAAUACAAACUCACGAAAAUUCAGUCACGCACAAAACUGUGUUGGUAAACAAGCGCUAGCACGGUGCGAAAAGUGUAAGGUGGUGUAAACAGCCACUGAUUUUCUUAAAAAGAACUUGAUUUUUAAAACCUAAAAUUCUCAUAUGACUAGCGAUUCCGAUUACCCAUAGUAAACAGUCUAUCGAUAAACUCAAUUGAGUUGACUAUUGUAUAUUGAAUCAGUAGAAUCUUUUUAUUUAAAUGGGUAAAGUUUCGAUGGCUUUCCUACAGCCAGGACAAUAUCAAGGCCCAAUUGAACGCCGGAGUCCGGCAAUUCAACAAGAAGCGCAGUCGCGGCAAAGUCUGGAAUGUCUUCUCCAGAAUCGAGCUUGGUCAAAUAACAUGGAUGCACUUCACACAUGGAGCGGCACAAGUGCUACAGAACCUAUGUCAUAUAUCCAACAUCAGAGGAUGAAGAGGAUUCCCACUGGAAUCCGGACGUUUCCAGUGCGGACAAGGCUACAGAUAAGAUAACCGAGGCCCUGAUGGAUUGGUGCGUCGUGGUUAGUGCGCGGGACAUCGAAACGCACUACGAUUUCUUCUUGGUCUUUGUCGCCUUGGACAGCCAGGAGGAUAAGAUUAUCAAAGAAAUUCAAGGCUACCAGGCAAUACAGAUGCCUGCAUGUGGAUUAGCUGCACCGAAAGAUGUUGCCCAACCAAUAUGAAUAAAAGAAUCGAUUCUUAGCUCUAGCUUACCAAAUUGUAGGUUUUCCUAGAAUUCCUGUUAAUUUAAAACUAUUAAUGAUCCACAAUGUCGAUACACAAAAAAAUUUGAAAAAUUAAAAUUUUGAAUAAAGAAAACAAUACG
ensembl:ncRNA asRNA:CR42254 antisense RNA:CR42254